rnacentral:rRNA from 1 species
UACGUAGGGGGCAAGCGUUGUCCGGAAUCAUUGGGCGUAAAGCGCGUGUAGGCGGUUCGGUAAGUCUGCUGUGAAAGUCCAGGGCUCAACCCUGGGAUGCCGGUGGAUACUGUCGGACUAGAGUACGGAAGAGGCGAGUGGAAUUCCCGGUGUAGCGGUGAAAUGCGCAGAUAUCGGGAGGAACACCAAUUGCGAAGGCAGCUCGCUGGGACGUCACUGACGCUGAGACGCGAAAGCGUGGGGAGCAAACCGG